AGAGUUCGAUCCUGGCUCAGGAUGAACGCUGGCGGCGCGCCUAACACAUGCAAGUCGAACGGCACCCACCUUCGGGUGGAAGCGAGUGGCGAACGGCUGAGUAACACGUGGAGAACCUGCCCCCUCCCCCGGGAUAGCCGCCCGAAAGGACGGGUAAUACCGGAUACCCCGGGGUGCCGCAUGGCACCCCGGCUAAAGCCCCGACGGGAGGGGAUGGCUCCGCGGCCCAUCAGGUAGACGGCGGGGUGACGGCCCACCGUGCCGACAACGGGUAGCCGGGUUGAGAGACCGACCGGCCAGAUUGGGACUGAGACACGGCCCAGACUCCUACGGGAGGCAGCAGUGGGGAAUCUUGCGCAAUGGGGGGAACCCUGACGCAGCGACGCCGCGUGCGGGACGGAGGCCUUCGGGUCGUAAACCGCUUUCAGCAGGGAAGAGUCAAGACUGUACCUGCAGAAGAAGCCCCGGCUAACUACGUGCCAGCAGCCGCGGUAAUACGUAGGGGGCGAGCGUUAUCCGGAUUCAUUGGGCGUAAAGCGCGCGUAGGCGGCCCGGCAGGCCGGGGGUCGAAGCGGGGGGCUCAACCCCCCGAAGCCCCCGGAACCUCCGCGGCUUGGGUCCGGUAGGGGAGGGUGGAACACCCGGUGUAGCGGUGGAAUGCGCAGAUAUCGGGUGGAACACCGGUGGCGAAGGCGGCCCUCUGGGCCGAGACCGACGCUGAGGCGCGAAAGCUGGGGGAGCGAACAGGAUUAGAUACCCUGGUAGUCCCAGCCGUAAACGAUGGACGCUAGGUGUGGGGGGACGAUCCCCCCGUGCCGCAGCCAACGCAUUAAGCGUCCCGCCUGGGGAGUACGGCCGCAAGGCUAAAACUCAAAGGAAUUGACGGGGGCCCGCACAAGCAGCGGAGCAUGUGGCUUAAUUCGAAGCAACGCGAAGAACCUUACCAGGGCUUGACAUAUGGGUGAAGCGGGGGAGACCCCGUGGCCGAGAGGAGCCCAUACAGGUGGUGCAUGGCUGUCGUCAGCUCGUGUCGUGAGAUGUUGGGUUAAGUCCCGCAACGAGCGCAACCCCUAUCUUCAGUAGCCAGCAGGUUAAGCUGGGCACUCUGGAGAGACUGCCAGGGAUAACCUGGAGGAAGGUGGGGAUGACGUCAAAUCAUCAUGCCCCUUAUGACUUGGGCUACACACGUGCUACAAUGGCGUAAACAAAGUGAAGCGAGAGUGUGAGCUUAAGCAAAUCACAAAAAUAACGUCUCAGUUCGGAUUGUAGUCUGCAACUCGACUACAUGAAGCUGGAAUCGCUAGUAAUCGCGGAUCAGAAUGCCGCGGUGAAUACGUUCCCGGGUCUUGUACACACCGCCCGUCACACCAUGGGAGUGGGGUUCACCAGAAGACGUUUGCCCAACCGAAAGGAAGGCGGCGUCCACGGUGGGCUUCAUGACUGGGGUGAAGUCGUAACAAGGUAGCCGUACCGGAAGGUGCGGCUG
rnacentral:rRNA from 1 species